rnacentral:rRNA from 1 species
UACGUAGGGUGCAAGCGUUAAUCGGAAUUACUGGCGUAAAGCGUGCGCAGGCGGUUUUGUAAGUCUGUCGUGAAAGCCCCGGGCUCAACCUGGGAAUUGCGAUGGAGACUGCAAGGCUUGAAUCUGGCAGAGGGGGGUAGAAAUUCCACGUGUAGCAGGUGAAAUGCGUAGAGAUGUGGAGGAACACCGAUGGCGAAGGCAGCCCCCUGGGUCAAGAUUGACGCUCGAUGACA